UAAAGUAUAUUGGGCCUAGAGGAGCUUAUGAAUAAAGGUACGAAGUGUCUUUCUUCACUAUCUGGCUAUCGAGAAGCAAAACGUCAAAUAUUGAAUAUUUACUAAAUUAAAAUAAUAAAUGAAUAAUAUAUAUGAGUUCAUAUCUUAAUAGACCCUUAAUUACUUAAUUAAUUUAAUUAAUAUGAUUUACCAUAUUAUACAUAUUCUAACUAGUAUAAGUAAUUCUAAGUAAUAAUCGAAGCUAGUAAAAUCAAAGGUAAGCGUAUCUAGCUCCAUUCCUUCUACAACAAGCGAGUCAGGGGAAGUUUAUCUAGCUGCUUUGGGAUAAGCAGGAGAUUCAUCUAGCAGCUUUGAUAGAAGCAGGGUAAAAUGCUAAGUCAAGGAGAAAUGCAGCAAUCUAUCCAAUCGAGUUAAGAGGAAUGCAAUUGAAGUUCUUUUAUAAGCCCCGGCCAGCUAGUGGAAAAUAUGUCUAGUCUGUCUAUCCCAAGUUUCCCGAGCCAAACGAUCUCUCCGAUCCAACAAGCGAAUAGGGUCUAGCCGAGCGAGUUCGAGUGAGAAACUAAGUCUCUCCAGUUGGAGUAGUGGAUUCGUCACAGGCCUCUUUCUUUUACUUUGAGUGCUGAGACAAAGACCUCUCUCCAAGAUCGUAUAAGACGAGAGCCCCUCCCCUUAGUUUGAGUUAUAGUCCUCGCUCUUUCGUAGGCUUUUUUUGAUUUAUUGAACCUCUUAGACCAUUCAUGGGCGUGAACCUACCUUCAAAGGCGAAGAAUUGGGCUCAACUCCAAUCCAAUAGUCUAAGACCGAUCCGAUCAAAUGGUGAAGGCUCCGUCACCAGUCGGUGAAUUGAGUGGUCUCCUCUUUUCUGACUGACCCGGACUCUUUGUCUUCCUCUGAUCUGGGCCUGAUCAAGGAUCCCGGAACGAAAAUUCCCAGUGUUCCUUAUUUUAUUUGUGAAAAAAUGAACAAAGAGUUUUUCAUCAUAAUGUAGUAUAAGCAAAUGGAUAGGGCGAUGAGUUAACCUCUUUCUUUCUGAGAGCUUUUUCCUUUCGCCCAAGCUUUCUUUCAUAGCUUGAUGUGAAGCUUCAGGGAACUAGUCAAAUGGAUUCGAUUAGUACCCACUCGUAGUCAUAGUUGCUUAUCUUAGUCAUCUUAGACAGCUCGGCAAGCACUAGCCCUUAUAUAUGUGUGUGAAGAGGGUCUCUCAGUUAAGCCAUCUAGUGUGCGUGAACCACUCAUUCCGUACAUCUCUCCACUCCGAAACACUUCUCUGUACGGAAGAAGCCUUAUGGAUCGGAUCGGGCGGAUAGAGAUUCCUACUUUGAACCUUCCGCACUCCGUAUUGGAAGACUUGAACAAGGCCCUCGCUUAGUUAGUUCGGUGAGGGAAGCUCGUCUGUCUUAGUUCCUGAUCGGUACACUGAACAUCGGUAGUUCUUCUUGUCUGUAGCUCUUCUGUUCCAACAUUCUUCUCCCUGUCUCAAUUAUCACUUUAGCACUGUAGAACCUCCCUUCCUUACUUAGACUGAGACAAAAAUGCUUUCGCGCAUAAGAGUCCUUCGCUAACUAUUACAGUGGAUCCCGCGUGCGCUAUUUGGAAACCCUUGUUGGAGCCCUUUCUGCCGGAGGAGAUGGGGAAAGACGAGAUCAGAGUCCGAUACCGCAGAAGCUAUGACUGCCGAGACCGGUAGCUUUCUCUCAUUCGCCAGACUAGCCAGUGGAAGUCCAGUUCGGUGGUAGUCUGUCCACGGUUUCUUAAGUGCAGACAGUGAUCCUCGUCAUCCAGUUGCAAGCCAGCCCUGUGCCCUAACUUAUUGGAUUGCGUACAUCCCCUUUCUUUUUCUGUCUCGAAAGGAAAGCCUGUGGCCAGGAGUAUAGUCUUGGACCGGGACGGAUUUAGCGACAGUCCCAGUUCUAGUUCAAGUUGGUCAGAUCCUCUUGGCAGGGAAGAAUCCAGUAGUGCAAUUGACUCGCAAGCAUCGCAUCGUACUAUGGUUCGAUGAUCGAGUGAAAUAGACUAUCAAUCCUCUCCCGACGGUCUCUCGCCCCAAUCACCUUCAAUAGCUCCAAUGGUCAUCAAUGGUAUUCAAAACGUGUCUUUGUCUCAUUCAAAUGGGAGUGGAGUUCACCUUUCCAGGUGUUCCGAUAUCAAGGUUGAAAGCGCUUUUCAACAUGAAUAAGAGAAUGCCUUAGUUCGACUCCCUUGAGAGAAGUUUCCUUCUAUGUUCUCUAUUCUAGAAAACUAGCUCUAGCAUCUAUUCUCUUAUAUAACCAAUCGAGAUCUUAUAUAAGAGAAAAUGAAGAAACUCUACUCUCUUCUAGCUGUGAGAUAGGCAAUAGAUUCUAUUUAGGAUAUGCCAGUAUGCAGUUAGGGACUUCCAUCAAGGCAGGUGCACGAGUGACUGUGCAGAGAGCUUUCCUUAUUUAGCUCCUAUCCUAGCAGUCAAAGUACCAGCAUGAUUGGGAGACAGCCAAAGCAGCACUCUCUCCCAUGUCAGCUGUGUUUGAUCUGGUAUUCCGGUUACUCUUUUGACUCAACACACAUCUCUAUCUCAAUCUAUCUCGCAUCGAACAAGCAGCCCCUCUGCACAGAGAAACUGCCUCAUAAUGCCGGUACUGGAUCCGCCCGGACAGUCUAGGUCAAUGCUAGCUGUACGGUUGCUUAUUCCAGGUCUCUUUCAUCCACUUUCCAAUGGGUGUCCAAUUAGAAUAAAAAAAAGCUUUCCUUAGCUAAGACUGAUUGAUUCACCGCAGCUUAUCUGACUAGUCUAACUAGCAGAUUGAACUAGCAACAUCACAUCAUAUAGAAUGAAGAUGGACAGGCAUGUCAGAAGCAAGAUGUCCACUAAUCUAGGACAGGUACUGGCUGUUACUGCUUUUUUCCAUGCACCAGUCCAAGCAUUGAAUACCCGAAAAAGGAGAUUCAAUUAGCAAGCUAUGCACUUGCCUUGCUCUCUCUUGUAUGCUUGGGCUUAGUGUUAGACGUUAGACCUAUCCUAUCAUUGGUACUUGUCUAUUACUUUGACUGCUUGCCUUUCUAUAGAAAUCUAAUUGUCUAGCUCUGGUUGCAGGUAUUCACUUGUCUUUGCCUUUCUAUGCCGCUUUUCAAUCCUUGCAUGGCCUAGCUCUCUUUACUUGAUAACUGCCCGGUAGACUGAUCUAAUCGAUAGACUUGUUGAUCUGGGAAUGAGUUCUGGGUUUCCUUAGCGGAGGCAGUCAUCUGCAAUUAUUUUACUUCUAUUAACUAGCGAGACUGGGUGGGAGGAUGUCAAAGCACAUUCUCUCUUUCUUCCAUGCACUAAUCUAUGCCAUAUGAGCUUUCCCUAUUGAUUGACUCCUUUACAUACUUCUUUGACCGACAAACUCUCACCCAAAGAGCAUUUGGUUUCAAGAGGAUCCCCCAUCCCAGCUUCAUAAGCAAGGCCGCCUCAUUGGUCUGUCUCAACUUUAGAAGACCGAAUCCCCCAUUACACUUCGGUUGACACACCGUCUCCCAUUUGACCCAUUUUGAACAUCUCGGGGGCCCGUAAAUACCUUUGGCUCUGGCACCAACAUCCGAACCAUCUCUGUCGAACCAUUGCUUACACUUUAGUAUGGUGACCUCGUCCGUCAGGCCACUAAUAUGUGCCCGUAGCACUUCCACAACUCCCUUGCCUUGCUAUCCUGCCUAUCUUUCUCCAGAGAAGUCUCGCUCGAAAUCUCUCCCUUCAGUUGUGUAACAAGGCGAUCCACACGAUAACGAGUCCGCUCCCGUCGAGCCUCUUCGACGGCACUAGCCCCGGUACAGUACACUAAGAGAUAGGGUGGCCUCGCAAGGCAAGGGGACACCUUGGCAUGUCUAUAUAUAUUCUAAGAUUGAUACAUGAUCUCUUAGGGAGGUCAGGGCCGUGACUCAACUUCCGUAGCUCCUUGUCAGGAAAUGGGUCCCUGACUUCGAAGAUUCCCCAAUGAUCGGGAGGAUUUCCUUUCCCUGACACAACGAUCUACCCCCAGCCGGACGGAACGACGUUACGCAGUCUUCAGUUUUGGGGUUUCGUCCUCCUUUGUCACUGCUGCUCGCGAAAUCAAGACUACUUGCUCUCUUUCUUUUCUUAAUGAACCCGGCGGCGCUCUAGAUUGAAUCUGUCUUGGCACUGUUGGGCUUGAAGCGAAGAUGGAUUGGGAGCUCUCUCCCAGGAGGUAACACACCGGCCAGAAGACUUUCUCUAGCUAAGUAGAGGAUUUAGAUACCUCCUGGAACUGCUCGUUCUUUCCCUGUGAUCUAAUAUUCAAUGCAGCGGGUAAAGCUCCCGCUCAUUGAAAAUAGAAAGCAGCUGAUUCAGUAGCAUCAGCUACUGCAGAAGAUCGAUUUCAUCAUUAUGUGAAUAAGCGGGCUUUUUGGUAUGUAAAAAAAAAAGGGUCCACUACAGGAACGGAAGUGAAAAGAUCUUAAGAAGGAACGGAAUAAUCUAAUCGACCUCCAAAGAAAGAGGCAGCAAUGCUCAAGGGACAAUUAGCUCAAUUGCAGAAAGAUCUAGGUGGGAUUAAAGAAAUGAAAAGUGAACCUGUGAAAUACAAUAGUUGCCAAUCAACAUGAGGAAUCUACUGGGAUAACAUAACACUUUGGCCGACAGCUGUCUUGAUACGGAUCCGUACAAUGGCCCAAUUCAAGUCAGAUGCUAGAGCUUCAAUCCGAUCGAUCUCGAUUGACGUCAGCAAUUCGCGAAGGUCAUUAUAGCCAUUGGUUGAUCAAACAAAAGUGAAUGACUCGUUCGUUAGGGACCUGGAGAUUGACUGAGUUGGCCGGGUCUCCUAAGAGCAGAUUGAUUAGGUCGGCUACUCUUCCCAGAUCUCAGAGAAUGGA